GAUGAACGCUGGCGGCGUGCUUAACACAUGCAAGUCGAACGGACUUAUUUUAUGAAGCUUGCUUCGCGAGAUAAGUUAGUGGCGGACGGGUGAGUAACGCGUGGGUAACCUGCCUCAUACAGGGGGGAUAACAGUUAGAAAUGACUGCUAAUACCGCAUAAGCGCACAGUACCGCAUGGUACGGUGUGAAAACCUCCGGUGGUAUGAGAUGGACCCCGCGUCUGAUUAGCUAGUUGGUGAGGUAACGGACUACCAAGGCGACGAUCAGUAGCUGGUUUGAGAGGAUGAUCAGCCACAAUGGGACUGAGACACGGGCCCAUACUCCUACGGGAGGCAGCAGUAGGGAAUUUUGCGCAAUGGGC
rnacentral:rRNA from 1 species